CCUGACUCUUUCUCCAUGUCUCCAAGGCUGACUGUGGUUUGUGCAAGAAUAAACUGCCUGAGCCUUCGCUGACAUCUGAGGCCUUGACUCGUAAGAUGCUGCCGUGAGCCCUAGGUCCUCCUCUCUGGGCUCUGCAUCGCUGCAGAGUGAGCACGAGCUCACUGGGAAAGGGCACCUUCCCGGCGGGUUCUUCAUUCUUUCCAGGGAAGGCACAGGGCCACCUUCGCUCCCAGAUCCAGAUCCACCAGGGACUGACUCCCGUGUGUCUGUGGAUGAACACUACACCAUUUGCUCCAUUUUCUGAGAAUUUCUCAGUGGAUGCUUUAAAAACCAAGGAUGAAUUCAGCAUCUCUAUUUUAUGUGGAAGCUGUUCUCAGCAUCAUUUGUUUUCUUACUUGGGUGGAAAAGAUAGCUGGGUAGGUGUUUUCCUCCCAGGGCCUUCUGAAGAGUUUAAAAACAGAGACUUUGGGUGUUGAAUGAAAGGUCCCUAUUCUUUCCUAAAAUACUCACAGAAUCCCAUGACUAAUAUAUAAAUAAAGAUUGUUGUAUUAGUCACCCAACAAUGAAAGAAGAAAUCCUCCCACUUCUCAAAUGCUUCCUUUCAGAGUAACCUCAAUGACCUGACUGAUUCAUGGAACUAAUUUGUAACAAUAAUAAAGAUGAAGCGGGACCCCAGACAAGCUUUCAGAACUCCUCCAAAGACCCUCACUGCCUCAUCCCGCUCUCCCGUUCCUCGGCCUGCAGCUGAUGCCUUUGAGGAAGCCCCUGUUUGUACUGACAGUGGCCCAGAAACCUCUUCCCCUUGCUCAGACAAUUGCCCAUGUGGCCGCUGCCAACUUGGGGCUUCCUGGACUUCACAAACUCAGGAGGUCUGAGCUCAGUGACACCCUGCAUCGCCCCUGCUCCCUGGGCUCCUGCCCUGAACCACAGCUCCCUGCUUGAUGAAGAAGGGUCAGCCACCUCAAGGUUCACUUCCGGGCAGAGGCCACAUCUGUUAGGAAAGAAAAUAGAUGAAAAGCAUAGUUAGCAAGUGCCUGCUGUUGGCCAGGCACCGAGCUAGGAGGUGUCUUAUUCCUGUGUCAUCUUAUUUCAUCAUGUAAAUGGCCCUGUGAGGCAGAGAUGGUUGUUUGAAUUAUACAGAAGGAGAAACACAGAGUCAGAAAGAUGAAGAAACUUGCUGAAGAUUGUAUUGUGUUCCAGUGGUCUCCAAACUGGGGUAGGUCCACUCUAGUGAAGGUCCCUGGUUAAUUCCUGCUGAUUAAGCACUAACCACAUGAGACUCAUCCAGCUGGCCAGUUUCCAGAUGAAACUGUGGUGGGUAAAUUCUUUGGAAAAGAAAAUGGAGUCCAUUUCCACAUGACCACACCUCCCCUGCAGCUAGGUAAGAUCAUGUAAUGGAAUUCUGGCCAAUGGAAUAUGAGUGGAGUUAAUGUGGGUAACCUCCAUGAUGGGCAAAGAAACACCUCCCAGGAAAAAGUCUUGAUUUUUCCUCAUGUCUGCUGACUACAUAUCGACUCUUGAAUAGACUUGAGUAUCUGCUGUUGAAGGAUGCAGAGGCUCUGUCAGCCUGGGCCCCUGAGUGACUUCAUGGAGUAUACCAUCUCUCCAACUGGAUUUUAUGGGGUUUGCCUGCUACAGACAUUUAGCUGUAACACAUAUUAAUCUGUAUGACUGGCUAAGUGCAGUUGAACCAGGUAGUCCUGGUCUAAGAACUCCUUUUAAAGAUCGUCAUGUUUCUAAGCAUCUGUUUUCAGUGUACCUGGUCAUUCUCACUUACCUGUUCUUUCAGCUUUCAGUGGUUCAGUUUUUCUCCACUGUUUCCACCAAAAUACCAUCAACAGUAAGGAAGAACAAUGUGGACCACCAGAAGGCUGGAGUGUUUUCUGAAGCUGCUCCUGCUUGGACUUUGGUUGGAAGUCGUGAUUGUCUGAGGGUUCAUGCUGGCGCUCCCCCAGUGAACCUAGCUCACCUACCCUCUGCUCUGGCUCUAGUCUCUCUUCCCUUCUUCUAAGGGAGGCUACUGCUGUGCUCAGUGCGGAGCUGGGUUCAAGGAGAGCUGGGGCUCUGAAGGAGUCGUGGGGAGAAGGCUGACAUGAGUCCUGAGUGAGUGGACCUGCUCUCUCUGGCCCUGAAGGGGUCAAGAGGCAACUGGGUGUGUGGGCUGAGUCUUUCCUGGCCCUGAAGCUGGAAGUAGAGGCUUUGUGCAGGAUCCUCAGCAGGGGACUAAAAGCCUGUGCUUUCAUAACCCGAGCCACACUGGCAAGUGCGCUGCCUCCUCCCACCUUUGAGACAGUUGCCUUCAGGAGCACAUCUACCAGAAGCCAACAAAGAAAAGCAACAGCCUCUUGGAGGGGCCUUUCUCCAGGGAGAGAAGGGUGAGGCAGCACAGGCAGAGCUGGUGUAGGAGACACAAGACAGUAUGAAUUUCAAAAUCAGAGCAUUGAAGGAGAUUCAAAUAUGGCACAAAAAGAGUUUCUGGAGCUAAAAAUCAUAAUUUCCUAACUAAAUACCAUUCAGUAGAUUAACUGAAAAAGUGGAAGAUCACCGUGAAGAUAUGGUCAGCUCUCCUGGAGGGUCAAAGGGCAGACAGACCCCUUGAUGAAAAGGGUGGUAUAGAGCAAAUGUAGAAAGAGAUGGGAAGCAAGUAGAAAUGGGUAAGGAACAUGGGAUGGAUCCUAAAACCUUGACUUGUGAAUAGAGAAACCUUGACUUGCAGAAAGAGGAAAAAAUAGAACCAACGGAGGAGAGGUGACCAUGAUACUAACAAUAAAAGAAAACUUCCCUGAACUGAAGCAAACCUGAGCCUCUGUUUUUUUUGUUUUCAAAUUUAAUACACUAUUUUUAAGAGAAGUUUUAGAUUCACAACAAAAUCAAGCAGAAAAUAAAGAAUUCCCAUGUGCCCACCCUCCAUAGCUUCCCACCCUCCUUCCCACCCUCCAUAGCUUCCCACCCUCCUUCCCACCCUCCAUAGCUUCCCACCCUCCUUUCCACCCUCCAUAGCUUCCCAAACUAUCAACAUUUCUCACCAGCAUGAUACAUUUGUUAUAAUUGAUGAGCCUACAUUAACACAUCAUUAUCAAAGUUCCUUUACCCAGGGUUCCCUCUUGUUGUACGUUCUAUGUGGGUUUUAAGGAAUGUAUCCACCAUUAUAGUACCAUACAGAGUAGUUUCACUGCCCUAAAAAUCCCCUGCCCUCCCCCUACUCAGCCCUUCCUCCCCAGGUCCCUGGAAACCACUGAUCUUUUCACCAUCUCUAUAGCUUUGCCUUUUCCAGAGUGUCAUAUAGGUGGGACCACUCAGCAUGUAGCCUUUUCAGAUUGGCUUCUUUCACUUAGUAAUGUGCAUUUAAGGUUCUUCCACGUCUUUUUGGUGACUUGAUGGCUCAUUUCUGUU
rnacentral:lncRNA from 10 species